CAUCACAGCAGGGGAAAAAUAUGCAUACAUUCAUACAUAAAGUACACAGACUGCUGCAUCACUCUGGAUGGACCUGCUCAUGUUGCAUGCAUAGACUGCCGCUAGCCAACAAAAUUGAACAAUGCAAGUUGUGCAACUCAUAACAGUCGUCAAAAUAUGUCCAGUAAAGGUAAUCUGCCUUAUCAACAUAAAAUCCUGGUAAAAGAAAAUUAAAAAUAUACAU